UUUUGGUCCGCUCUAAUGCAAAGCAAUUUUCUAUCCAGGUUGCAUUUGCCUCGCUUGCGGACGAAAUUAAAAAUCAUUGGCUUUAUUAUCCUAGCGCAUUAAGCAACCAAGUGUUUAUUAUUGCGCUUGAGAAACGUAAAACUACAGCU